rnacentral:tRNA from 1 species
AUGAGUCUGUAUUUUUUAUAAUUUUAAGGUUGCAAACCUUGAUACUUAAGACUUAUU